AUGAGCCAAGAAAGGAAAUGUGGCAAAUAUGCCCAAUGGAGUUGCAGUCAGCCAUAAAAAUGAAAUUAUUUCAUUUUCAGAGACGUACAUGGAACUGGAGAUCAUGGGACGUGAAAAAAACCAGACUCUGGAGACAACUGUUGUCUGGUCACACAAUUCAUCUGGUUUGUUCAAACUUUGGAAACCUUCCUCCAGUCCUCAGAUAACAGAACCGAAGAAGUUCAGAUCUAGGUUGACUGGCUGUCAUUUUUUUCUCCAGCUGUGUCUAAUUUCUAGUAGAGACCCUCCUGUCAGUAUGGAUCACCCCCAUACAUCAUCAGAAGCUCAAGUACCUCUUAUGAGUGUUACCUACAGAUUAACUGUCUCACACACACACACACACACACACACACACACACACACACACACACACACACUAAAAUGGCUGAGGAUUUAUCUUCGCUGGUGAGAAAUGUGGAACCUUGUUAUUUAAAGUAAGGAAUAGAUGAGUGAAGGACAGGAACUCA